UACGAAGGGUGCUAGCGUUGCUCGGAAUGACUGGGCGUAAAGGGCGCGUAGGCGGACUGCACAGUCAGGCGUGAAAUUCCUGGGCUUAACCUGGGGACUGCGUCUGAGACGUGUGAUCUAGAGUGAGGAAGAGGGUCGUUGAAUUUCCAGUGUAGAGGUGAAAUUCGUAGAUAUUGGAAAGAACACCGGUGGCGAAGGCGGCGACCUGGUCCGUGACUGACGCUGAGGCGCGAAAGCGUGGGGAGCAAACAGG
rnacentral:rRNA from 1 species